rnacentral:rRNA from 1 species
UAUUGGUCAAUGGACGCAAGUCUGAACCAGCCAUGCCGCGUGGAGGAUUAAGGCCCUCUGGGUUGUAAACUCCUUUUAUCUGGGAAGAAAUUUCCGCAUUCCUGCGGGAUUGACGGUACCAGAGGAAUAAGCACCGGCUAACUCCGUGCCAGCAGCCGCGGUAAUACGGAGGGUGCAAGCGUUAUCCGGAUUCACUGGGUUUAAAGGGUGCGUAGGCGGGCAGGUAAGUCAGUGGUGAAAUCUCCGAGCUUAACUCGGAAACUGCCGUUGAUACUAUUUGUCUUGAAUAUUGUGGAGGUAAGCGGAAUAUGUCAUGUAGCGGUGAAAUGCUUAGAUAUGACAUAGAACACCAAUUGCGAAGGCAGCUUACUACACAACGAUUGACGCUGAGGCACGAAAGCGUGGGGAGCAAACAGG